rnacentral:rRNA from 1 species
GACGAACGCUGGCGGCGUGCUUAACACAUGCAAGUCGAACGGAAAGGCCCUGCUUUUGUGGGGUGCUCGUGUGGCGAACGGGUGAGUAACACGUGAGUAACCUGCCCUUGACUUUGGGAUAACUUCAGGAAACUGGGGCUAAUACCGGAUAGGAGCUCCUGCUGCAUGGUGGGGGUUGGUAAGUUUCGGCGGUUGGGGAUGGACUCGCUGCUUCUCAGCUUGUUUGUUGGGUAGUGGCUUACCAAGGCUUUGACGGGUAGCCGGCCUGAGAGGCUGACCGGCCACAAUGGGACUGAGAUACGGCCCAGACGGCUACGGGAGGCAGCAGGGGGGAAUAUUGCACAAUGGGCGGAAGCCUGAUGCAGCAACGCAGCGAGCGGGAUGACGGCCUUCGGGUUGUAAACCGCUUUCGCCUGUGACGAAGCGGGAGUGACGGUAAUGGGUAAAGAAGCACCGGCUAACUACGUG